rnacentral:rRNA from 1 species
ACUUAAAUUGAAGAGUUUGAUCAUGGCUCAGAUUGAACGCUGGCGGCAGGCCUAACACAUGCAAGUCGAACGGUAACAGGAAGCAGCUUGCUGCUUCGCUGACGAGUGGCGGACGGGUGAGUAAUGUCUGGGAAACUGCCCGAUGGAGGGGGAUAACUACUGGAAACGGUAGCUAAUACCGCAUAACGUCGCAAGACCAAAGAGGGGGACCUUCGGGCCUCUUGCCAUCGGAUGUGCCCAGAUGGGAUUAGCUUGUUGGUGAGGUAACGGCUCACCAAGGCGACGAUCCCUAGCUGGUCUGAGAGGAUGACCAGCCACACUGGAACUGAGACACGGUCCAGACUCCUACGGGAGGCAGCAGUGGGGAAUAUUGCACAAUGGGCGCAAGCCUGAUGCAGCCAUGCCGCGUGUAUGAAGAAGGCCUUCGGGUUGUAAAGUACUUUCAGCGGGGAGGAAGGGGUUAAGGUUAAUAACCUUAACCAUUGACGUUACCCGCAGAAGAAGCACCGGCUAACUCCGUGCCAGCAGCCGCGGUAAUACGGAGGGUGCAAGCGUUAAUCGGAAUUACUGGGCGUAAAGCGCACGCAGGCGGUCUGUCAAGUCGGAUGUGAAAUCCCCGGGCUCAACCUGGGAACUGCAUUCGAAACUGGCAGGCUUGAGUCUCGUAGAGGGGGGUAGAAUUCCAGGUGUAGCGGUGAAAUGCGUAGAGAUCUGGAGGAAUACCGGUGGCGAAGGCGGCCCCCUGGACGAAGACUGACGCUCAGGUGCGAAAGCGUGGGGAGCAAACAGGAUUAGAUACCCUGGUAGUCCACGCCGUAAACGAUGUCUAUUUGGAGGUUGUUCCCUUGAGGAGUGGCUUCCGGAGCUAACGCGUUAAAUAGACCGCCUGGGGAGUACGGCCGCAAGGUUAAAACUCAAAUGAAUUGACGGGGGCCCGCACAAGCGGUGGAGCAUGUGGUUUAAUUCGAUGCAACGCGAAGAACCUUACCUGGUCUUGACAUCCACAGAACUUUCCAGAGAUGGAUUGGUGCCUUCGGGAACUGUGAGACAGGUGCUGCAUGGCUGUCGUCAGCUCGUGUUGUGAAAUGUUGGGUUAAGUCCCGCAACGAGCGCAACCCUUAUCCUUUGUUGCCAGCGGUCCGGCCGGGAACUCAAAGGAGACUGCCAGUGAUAAACUGGAGGAAGGUGGGGAUGACGUCAAGUCAUCAUGGCCCUUACGACCAGGGCUACACACGUGCUACAAUGGCAUAUACAAAGAGAAGCGACCUCGCGAGAGCAAGCGGACCUCAUAAAGUAUGUCGUAGUCCGGAUUGGAGUCUGCAACUCGACUCCAUGAAGUCGGAAUCGCUAGUAAUCGUGGAUCAGAAUGCCACGGUGAAUACGUUCCCGGGCCUUGUACACACCGCCCGUCACACCAUGGGAGUGGGUUGCAAAAGAAGUAGGUAGCUUAACCUUCGGGAGGGCGCUUACCACUUUGUGAUUCAUGACUGGGGUGAAGUCGUAACAAGGUAACCGUAGGGGAACCUGCGGUUGGAUCACCUCCUUACCUUAAAGAA